rnacentral:lncRNA from 1 species
GGCAAUCAGUCCAAAUAACGAUGAUAACAAAUAAGUUUCAAUCAAAUACGCGGUAAAAGCGUCAAUCGAGACGGACCAAGUCGCAAUCCCCAAUAGUAAACGACCCCACCGCUCAUCAUCAAGCGUGUGUCUCACCUCAAUAUAGCACUACAAUGUGCGAAUCCGGGGUUUCAAACCCUUAGGAUAUCAUUUACAAUCAUUACUCACCUCGAACUAGCGAAAUAUCUAGCUCAUGACGCCUUUGCCCCGCAAAUCGGCCUCCUCGCGCGUCGAAUCUGACCAAAACCAGAACGAAUACGUCAUAAUAUGCUAAGGGAACAAAGCCCAAACGAAAACAAUUGAAAAAUAUCAAAAAUCCCGAAAUUAGCAAAACCCGAGCCCCAAGCCCACUUCUCAAAANNNNNNNNNNNNNNNNNNNNNNNNNCUCAGAACUUUUUACAUCAUUAGAUUCCUCGUCUCCCCACGAGUUCAUACAUAUCAACAACAUCAAAAUCGGAGUUCAAAUGACCCCUCAAAUCCUCCAUUAAAGGCCUCUUAAACUCAAGCCCUAAUCCUCCAUUUUUAGCCCUUUAAACCCAUUAAUUACAGCCUUAAUUCAUGAAAUUCUACCAUAGGAAUGUGUUUUAAGUCCAAAAUCCUUACCUCCACGAAGUCUUUUUGAUUCCUCUCUUUAAAAUCGCCCAAAGCUCCCAAUUCUGAGUGCAAAAAUGGUUAAACCCUUCAAAAAUCGCGAAGGAAGACAUAUAUACAUUCUGCCCAGGGGUUUUCACAUCUGUGACACCAUUACCGAACCUGCGAUACUGCAUUUGCGGUCCAACCAACCGCUUCUGCAGUUUCUUAUUAAAAUUCCAAAAGUCGCUUCUGCGACUGAACUUCCGCAUCUGCGGCUUCGCAGAUGUGGCCACCUCGACCGCUUCUGCGGAAACUGCUCCCCAGCCCAAACUUCGCUUUUGCGGCUCUUCUCCUCGCACGUGCGGCACCGCACCUGCCGUUCCCAAGCCGCAGGUGCGAAAACACGAGAAGCAACAGAUUUUCCUGAAACCUCUAAAUCCAAAAAUCUUUCCGUUAACCAUCCGACAUCACCCCGAGGCCCAUGGGACCUCAACCAAAAGCACCAACAUGACCCAAUACCUUAUUCGAACUUGUUCCAAUCAUCAAAACACCUCCAACAACGCCAAAUCAAUCAAUUCACAUCGAAUUCAAGCCUAAGUUUUCUAAAACUUCCGAAAUACGUUUUCGAUCAAAAACCCAACCAAACCACGUCCGAAUGACCUGAAAUUUUGCGCACACAUCACAAAUGACAUAACGAAGCUACAUCAACUUUCAGAAUUCCAUUCCGACCCUCGGAUCGAAAUCUCACCUAUCAACCGGAAUUCGCCAAAAUACUAACUUCGCCAAUUCAAGCCUAAUUCUACACCGGACCUCCAAAACCAAUUCCGAUCACGCUCCUAAGUCAUAAAUCACCCAACGAAUCUACCCAAAUCAUAAGAAUUCCGUUCCGAGCUCUUAUAAAAAUAAGUCAACUCUUGGUCAACCUUUCAAAUUUAAAGAUUUCAUUUGAGACUUUUUUUUAAAUUCAUUCCGAUUUCUCUGAAAACCAAAACCAACGAUCUACAUUAGCCAUAAUACCUUACACAGGGCAAGUCAUGCCCGACAACUGGCGAUCAAAGUACAAAAGCUCAAAACGACCGGUCGGGUCGUUACAUCCUCCCCCACUUAAACACACGUUCGUCCUCGAACGUACCUAGAGUUGUUCUAAAAGCCAAGCAAUAACUGAAUAACUUUACCAUGCAUAUACCCGGAGAUGAUCCCACGUCACCCUAUCUCAUGUAGUUCCCAUAGCACAUUGCAACUGAAAUUACACAAUCCAGUCUGGCCCAUAAGCCAUAGAACCACAUUUCCACAUCUGAAACCAUCAAUACGAUCAAAACCUCACACAUAUACUCUGAAUAGACCCGAACCAGCUGUAAUAACCCAUGCCUACAACCUCGGGAGCAAUCCCAUGAUAUACCACAUAACUCAAACACUCAUAGCAAUAACUUCUAUUCACAGCAGCUGCCCACAAAGUGCAAAAGCUCAAAAUAACCGGUCGGGUUGUUACAUGAAGAUUAUCCGAAGGCCCUAUGGUUAGUGGGGGUGGUGCCUGUCCAUUCACCCAGGCUUGGUACAUCUCUGCUAAUUGUUGCUUCAGUACUCUUACUUCUUCAACCAAUCAUGAAUCUUGUUCGACCAAUUGUCCAUGGACAUCAUCAUUAUGUGACUCAUUCUCGCUAUUGUUUGCCAUUCUACUUUUUCUUUUGAUCUCGUGUUGUAAGGGUGAGUCGCCAGUUUAAACCACAAACCAACCACUUUUAUUUAACUUUAUCUUUAUCAAAUGACAAACAACAAACGUGUUAGAAUUAGACAUUUUGCAAAUAUUAAUCACACAUUGUAUGUCAUGCACCUAAUGCCAUUUUCAUUUCUGAAAUGAGCUUGGAAGGCUUCAUGCUUCAUCCCGGCUUAUUGGUUUAUUUCCUUUUGAAUUUAACGCUCUUUUUUCUUUCCUUUUUUUUUAUUUUUAUUUUCUCUCAUUUUUUUCUCUUCUCUUUUUUUCCUGAUUAAUUAUGGCUAUGACCGCAUUCGAUGGGGAUUGCUUACGUAUCAUGACGCCUCAUGAAUCAGACCAUUACGUAGUUCCGGGAGAUCAGGAAUAAAGUAAAUAAACUAACUCUCUUUUUGUGUGUGGGUAUUUUCUAAAGAAAGAUUUUUAAAGAAUAAAGAAAAUAAUUGUUGGAUUUUGAUUUUUUUUGUUGGGAAUUUUCGAAAGAAAAACUAUUGAAGAAGAACAAAAAUAUUUUUGGAUUUGGAGAAGAAUUUAAAAGAAAAUAUUUUUGGACUUUUAAAAAGUGGGGGCCGGACCCGAUGAAGGUUGCCUACGUAUCUCACAUCCGGUGAGAAUCAGACCCGCGUAGUUCGUAAAUAUUUCAGGAAUAGGAUGGCACUUUUUGAAAAAUUCAAACUUAUUUUGCAAUAAUCUUUUUGGGGAAAAUACCGAGAUUUUUUGAAAACCGGGUAAAUUUGCUCUCUCCUCUUUUCUCCCUUAUGAUUUUCCCUCAAUUUUUUUUUAAUAUUUUUAUAUUUUUUAGGAAUCGAUCAACAUGCACAAGCCGAAUCAAACAUAAUACACAAGUAGCACAUAAGAUGCAUCAGGAUAGCCUUGCAAUUCUUGGAUACACCUGUUCUAGACGGACCCAACACCUCUGUUGAGUCCCCAAAGUCAAAUGCACAUGAUGCAAAGAAACGUUUCUAUUAGGGAUCCGUCAUGAAGUUAUGUUAUUCUAAGUUUAAAUCCUAGGAGGAGUGUUUUAGACCUGGCUUACCCAAGCGGACAGCUCGAGCCGAGGUAGGGGCAACGAACCAGGAGCAUGAAAGUCUACCCGGCCUAGUUACUGAUCCAGCCUCGUUCUAAUUGGUAUGACUUCUAACAAAAAAGUGGAUCACGCGCAUGUAUGCACCAUAAAUUCUGAAGACUCAGAAGGGAGGCGUAAGAAGACAGUUUAAUACAGUUCAAAUAAUAUCAAAGCGGUAAAUAAGCGACAAUUAGCGCAUUAGACCAAAAAAAUAUAAUAACAUCAAAUCAAUAAAGCCAAGUAUAAAUCACAUUACAAGCUCGAAUUUUGAACCCUGAAUUAAAAGUUCUGGGUUUUUGUCCCCAUCAGAGUCGCCAGAGCUGUCACACCUCCUUUUCCCCCAAGGGGAUAGGGAGUUUUUCCAAUUUAAAGUGACAUUAUUCGAAAUGGGAUUAUUAUUUUAUUCAAAGUCGCCACUGAGAAUAUUUAUGGUGUCCUAAGUCACCAGUUUAUUUUAAAUCCCAAAUCGAGGAAAUUGACUCUGUUUUAAAGUCUGCGAAACCAAAAGAAUGAGUAAGGAAUUCUGUUAAUCCGGGAGAAGGUGUUAGGCAUUCCCGAAUUCUGUGGUUUUAGCACGUACGUGUACUCCUUUUAUUUGGUAUGUUAAAGUCAUGUCACGAGUAUGUGUACACAACUAAUAACACUUUAUUAUUAUUAAGAUUGUUUGGUUAAGGUCGCGCGAACGCGUACCUUGGUUUAUUUUGGGAAUCAUAAUUAUGUCACGCGAACGUGUACAUAAUAAUGAUAAUAAAUUUAGAAACGCGUCUAAAUCACUCUAACGGUAUUCAUUAUUCUUCUUAAACUUUGAGAUUGUUGCAAGGUUAAGAGUUAUGGAAUUAUUGUGGCAAAAGAGUCAGCUUUUAUUCUUACUAUAUUGGGCCUUGACAGAAAUUAUUGUGGCCCAAAACUUCUUUACGUGCUAAAUUUUCAAUCCCCACAAUAUUGAUACAAACCCCAAAAGGCCCAAAAAACAUAUUUGGACAAUAUAUAAGAAAAUUUUACUCAAUUCUAGUAGGAGAUAGCAAUUAACAAAUAUGGCAGCUUAUUAACUACAUUUCUAGCAUAAACCUAUAAUGCUGGACCGAUCCCAUUAAAAUAGGGAUUAGUAAUUAAUGGUAAUUCACAUAAGUUUUGGAGUCUUCCCCACAAUUUUCUCUCCCCCAUUUAAUGCCGUGUACCUUAAAACCCUCAUUUUCUCCUCUUUUUUGAAUAGUUGUACUGUUAUAAAUUUUCCUCACCCUAAAUACUUUCCUUUUGCGUCUAUUCAAUCCAGCUUUUGUCUUCAAUUUAUUCCUUAUUUCAUUCCUCCUUCAAGUAACUGGUUUUACCUCUAUUUUUAUACUUAUACAUAGUAUAUUAAAUUCAAUUAUUGAUUGUGUUGUAUUAAAAACAUGAUGAAUAAUGAUGGUAUAUAUGACUAUAUUACUAGUAUAUCUUAAUGGUAUAUAUAGAUUAUAUUAUACUUGUGGAUAACUAUCAUAUACAACGUAUUUUAUUGGUAUAAUAUGAAGCUUAUAAUAUAAUAUUAUUGGUAUAGUAUUUGUAUUAUUCGGCUAUACGUAGUAUAUAAUUCUUUUAACAUUAGUUGUUUAAUGCAUGAACAUAUACGAUGUAUAUUCAGCAUAUAUUAAAUUUAAUAAGUCAAUUAACUGUAUAUUUAUUGAAUUAUUUUAUAUAUUCAGUGUAUAUAUACCUCAUAUACACUACCUCAAGGAUAAACCACUACCACCACAACACCAUCAUACACAGCCUUCACCACUGUACCCGUCAAUCUUCAAAAACACCAUUCAACACAUCAUUUUUUUAAGGAGAAGAAACAAGAAGGAAGCAAAAUGAAGAAUAAAAGGAAAAAAACGAGAAACAUAAAAAAUCAACUUCAAUAGCCACUAAUAUCUAAAAUAGCUUUCCAUUUGGUCAAAACAUAUAUUGACGAAGAAUAAAUAACGAUCAAGAUCUACUAAUCCACAUCAAUAGUGUUUCCAUAUGCUACCAGAAAAAUCAUACUGAUUUUUGAUUGGUAGCAACAUAGCAGUCAAGUGGUGAAAAGAUUAAUGAAGAUGUGGCUUAGGGUUGCAAGAAGAGAGAUAAGAAAUUAGGUCGAGGGUUGAUAUAUAUGGUUAUAAGAAUAAAAAUGGAUCCCGUAAUUUGUGAAGUUAAUUUAUUACUUUGAAAUAUAAUUUUUGUAUUAAGCUAAUAAUGUAAAAAAAGUGCUAUUUAUGGAAUAAACUAGAAGUGAUUCCAUUUUUCUAAAUAAUUUUAAGAAAAGGAUCAAGCGUGUAAAAAACUCUAUUUUAUAAUCAAAUCACGUCUUAUAUCGACUUAACAAAAAUCAUUCUCUGACUCAUUAAUCUUAAAAAACCCAUAUUAGCAUUACAAAAAUGGGUUCCUUCUAAAUCCACCCAGUAACUCAUUUUUAUUCCUUGAACCAAACUUAUGUAAGUAAAUCAUAUUUAAUGAAAAGUUAGGGGAAAAUCCAUAUUUUAGGCAUUCACAACAGAUUGUAAAUGAAAUAAAUGAUUCAAAAAAAGGAAACAUUAAAGAUGCCAACUAAAGAGAACAGACGAAGCAUUCAAUUUAAACAAGCCCACUAAAACAAAUAUACCAUUGCAUUUGGAAUAUUUAGAUGAAGAAAAGACCUUUAUUGCUGAAUAUUUAAGUUCCGAACUUUGUUCGAAUCAACAAGGAUCUCAGAUCGGAGUUACAACUAGACGUCGAUCGGAACCUCAUCGGCGACCUCGCUUCAAUCAAUUUUGGAGCUGCUAUUUUCUGUGUGAAAGGGACUGUUUCACUGAGUUCUUGGCUCAUUUUUUGCCGUGUUUGUUGGGCUAGUUUGAGGUGUUAUUCGGGACGGUUUUCUGGGCAAAAAUGGCAGCGAUUUGAGCUGCUGUUUUCGAUCACUUCAGGACUAUUUUGUUGGCUGUUUUAAGGGGCUAUUUUCAGCGUUUUUGGGAUUGGUUUGAGGUGAGAAACAUAGGUGUUUUCAUGGAGUAAAUUGGAGAAGUUGCAUCUUGUUUUCUCAGAGGAAAAGAAGGUUGAAUCACCUUUCUUGUUUCUUUCCUCUCUUCACGUUCUUUUCCUCUUUUCCUAUCUUUCUUUUACCUUUAUUCUUAGAUUUUUGUUUCUUCUUCGUUCCCCCUCCCUCUGUUUUUCUGUUCUUUCUUUUUGUGUCUAUUUACAGAUGAAUGGAGAUUAUCAUUAAAGAGUGAGUUGUUGAUCAGAUGUGUGUAUGUGAUAUUGUGUGUGAGUGACGGGAAGUGUGGGGCAACGUGGGGUAAUUGUGUG